GGGGACGUGGUGGAAUGGCAGACACGCUAGCUUCAGGAGCUAGUGCCCUCACGGGCAUGAGAGUUCAAAUCUCUCCGUCCCCA
rnacentral:tRNA from 1 species